rnacentral:lncRNA from 1 species
CCUGAAACUGCAGCCUGCUUCAUGGAUGUUCCUUGAUCAUUGCCAGCACCAGGCUGGAAGGAGUUCCUUCAUCUUAGAUUGAGGAGGAAAGAGUGGGGUGUUUGUGGCUAUUUGUCAGCUUGUCAACAGCCCUGAUGCUUUAGAGGACAGGGUGGUUGGGGAGUGGGUGAUGGAAGAGUGGAGGACGGAAGCUCUGGGGACACUCAAGAACCAGCCUGAAAGUGCUGCUACUUAAACAAAUAGCUUCUCAAGCCACAGUUCUAAAGAGCUCUGCGAUUGGCGGUGAGGAUUUCAGGGUUGUGGAAAUCUGUUCAGUGGGAGCUUCACUCAAGGCAGAAUGAACUGAGCUUCGCACAAGGAAACGUCCUGGAGUGGCUAACACAAAGUCUGCGUGGUUGCAUCUGCUUUAGUGGGUGAUUACAGGGCUCGGCAGCAGGGCAGCGAUUACUAUUACAAACGUGGCAUUUGAUCGUGCACACACAUCCUCAGAGAGAAGACACCAGACACAGCACCACCGUCCACUGCAUAAAUGAGCACAGGCGUUCAAGUUCGCACAAAACUACUUCAACUCGGGUGGACACAAAAUGACAGGCAGCUAUUAUCCACCAUGGAUGCAUAAGCAGCAAGCGAAUAUUGACACCAUCUCUGGGGGAAAAAACCCUUUAAUACAGUUUCCUUUGUCUUUCCAGUCUCUCAUAGUAUCUAUCACAAAGGUCGGAGUCUCCCAAUGAGCCAUCUGAUAAAGCAUACACUCCUACAUUUUCCUUUAUUAAACUGUAGCUGUUUUAUUCUGUCAUUUAAAUGUAACUGUUGUGACCAUCUUCUUGUCAGAUCCUUUGUCCUUUAAUAACUGACUCUUAGACCAUGCUUCUCGCCAUUCUUCUGGGGAACAUGGAUGUCUAUUCACAUGGUCAUGAUCUUCUUAAAGUGGCCGUGUCUGUCUGUCCUGACUAACAUCUUUCCGCUCUGAAAGACUAGUUGCUGUUGGUAACAGCUGCCUCUGGUAUGCCAACUGUGCCCAUGACGUCAUAGUCCCCUUGUUGAUACUUGGGGCUACCUUGUGAUUUUGUAUUUGAGACUUCUCUAUAUAAACACAUUGCUUAUGAAUGAAGACAUUUUUAUUUCCUUUCUGAUUUCUCUUAGGAACUCUCACAAGAUAGUUUAAUAAGAAUGCUGAGAAUUACAAUCUGACUUUCUCCUCGACUUAAUGGAAGACAUUGGUUUUAAAUCAUUCAAUAUGAUACCACCGAUGGUAUUUUUUAAAGUCGAAUUGUAAAGAGUGAAAUAUAUUUCUAUUUUAAAUGUACUUGGCAAUUUUCUGGGUUAUUGUUUUCACAACUGAAUAUUUUAUCCUGUUAACUGCAUUUACUGCAUCAAUGAGUAUAUUACAUGCUUUUGUCAUU